GGAGAGAUGCCAGAGUGGUCGAUUGGGUCUGACUCGAAAUCAGAUGUACACGUUUAGUGUACCGAGGGUUCGAAUCCCUCUCUCUCCG
rnacentral:tRNA from 1 species